rnacentral:rRNA from 1 species
CCUCGCAAGAGGAGGCCUGGAGACAGGUGCUGCAUGGCUGUCGUCAGCUCGUGUCGUGAGAUGUUGGGUUAAGUCCCGCAACGAGCGCAACCCUUGUCUUUAGUUGCCAUCAUUCAGUUGGGCACUCUAAAGAGACUGCCGGUGGUCAAAACCCGGAGGAAGGUGGGGAUGACGUCAAGUCCUCAUGGCCUUUAUGACCAGGGCUACACACGUACUACAAUGGCCGGUACAAAGGGCAGCCACUUAGCGAUAAGGAGCCAAUCCCGUAAAGCCGGUCUCAGUCCGGAUUGGAGUCUGCAACUCGACUCCAUGAAGUUGGAAUCGCUAGUAAUCGCAGAUCAGCACGCUGCGGUGAAUACGUUCCCGGGCCUU